rnacentral:rRNA from 1 species
AGCUCCAAUAGCGUAUAUUAAAGUUGUUGCAGUUAAAAAGCUCGUAGUUGGAUUUCUGUGAGAGCGCCUGCGUCGGCUGAUGCUUGUGCGCAGAUGCUCUCACAUCCUUCUGUUAACUGUUCUUGGCAUUCAUUUGCUGGUUCAGGGCUCAGAUAUUUUACCUUGAGAAAAUUAGAGUGUUUCAGGCAGGCUUAUGCACGGAAUACAUUAGCAUGGAAUAAUAGAAUAGGACCUGUGCGUCUCUCGGGGCGCCGGUCUCUGUUGUUGGUUUCGGGGACUAAAGUAAUGAUUAAUAGGGAUAGUUGGGGGCAUUAGUAUUUAAUAGUCAGAGGUGAAAUUCUCGGAUUUGUUAAAGACUAACUUAUGCGAAAGCAUUUGCCAAGGAUGUUUUCAUUAAUCA